rnacentral:misc_RNA from 1 species
GGACGGCAAAAUUGAAUUUUCACUGGACGUAGCAGCAGAUGGUAAAUACUCCCAGGCCCAAAGAGAAAAAGACAAAAUCAAAUAUUCCCUCUCCUCCACUCCUCUGUACAACUUAGGACAAAAUCACGGACCCAAAAACAAGAAAUUAAAAAAGAAAGAUUUAAUUAAACUGGUGACUUAUAUGAAUCACUAUAAUUAUAUAAAGAAUCCUCCUUGAUUUCAGGUUUAGAUGGCUUCUUUUCCUCAAUCUCUUGGUUGUCAUCAACAUCAUCAAUGACAACGCCCACAGUUCCGGUCAGCUCUUUAGCCCUUCGGGCUUGAAAUUCCCAAUCUGUGCAACCCAAAACCACCAACAUGGUCACAACACAGGAGCCUUGUGCAGCCAAGAGGCCUAGCCAUAGUCCUUCGAAAUCAAAUCCUGCAAAAAAUGCUAAAAAUACUGCCACUGGCAUACCAACAAGGUAGAAGCAACCCAAGUUGAUGUUUGCCCCUACUUUCGGUCUAGCCGUCCCUCUUAGCACUCCACAGCCUGUUGUUUGUGGACAGUUUCCUAGUUCACACAAUCCUAUUAUCGGCAAAACAAGUGAUGUUAAGGCAAUAAUCUCUUUAUCUUGUGUGAACAUGCUAGCCCAUAUUUUCCUCACCGUAACUGUGAAACUUAGAGCUGAAAAUCCCAGAAUGAAGCUGCAAGAGAGGCCUACAAUGGCUGCGAGCUUUGCUUUCUUGGGCUGGUUAGCACCCAGUUCAUUACCUACCCUUGUGGAUACGCUGAAGCUUAGAGAAGAUGGAAAUAUGUAUACUAGUGAAGUAGUCUGAAUCAGAAUGCCCAUAGAGGCAACGGUUGCUCUUGGGUUCAACAACAGCCCGCAUAGCAAAAUCAUGAUUUCAUACCACCACCAUUCAAGACACACUGAGAUGCAGCUUGGAAUGGCCAAGUUCAAAAGAGUUUUCCAUUCUUUGAAGCACUCUAUGGAAAACCCUCCCCAGGUCUUUUUGUGGACACCGGAGAUAAGGAUGUAGACGAUUAAAGAGCCUACGAGAAUGAAAUUAGUCCAUACCCCACUAAGAGCAACACCUUUGAUUCCUAAAUUAAGGUGUGUCACCAGAAGAUAGUUUAUGGGUAUGUGUAGAAGAAUUGAUAGAGUAGCACAAAAUGUUAAAGGCAAGGUUAUGGAUUGAGUUCUCAGAUAAAUUCUCAACGGGUGUAAAAUGGAUUGAGCUAAGAGGUCAGGAAGAGAAUAAAGAAGAAAUGACUGAGCUUCUGUGGCAAUUGCCAAAUCUUGGCCGCAAAAAAGAAGAAUUCUUUUCAUGUUUAACCACAGAAGAGAAAUGGGUAAGGAAGUGAAUAUUAGCAAAAGUAUAGUUCUCUGCAAAGUUAGACCAAGAAGGCUGUGUUUUUGGGCUCCGAAUGCUUGACCACAAAUGGGUUCCAUUCCCAUGGCGAGGCCAGAGAGGAUAGAAUAGCCAGUUAUGUUAGCAAAGCCGAUGGCAAGAGAUCCACCGGCUAAAGCAAGCUCGCCAAGGCGACCAAGGAAAAGCAUAGAGAUCAUCGAGCGAGAGUAAAGCAAAAGACCAGUGAGUAUCAUAGGAAGGGCUAUUUUGGCAAUGGAUAUGGCUUUUCUGAUGGCAAGAGAGAAGUGUGUCUUUUGUGGUGGCUCCUGGAAUUCUGGUGGCGGUCUAUGUUCCAGCUGCUGUUGUUUGGGUGUUGGGCUUUCGGUGAUCAAAAAUGGCUCGUGCAUGCUGGACUCUGGGUCCUUGGUUGGGAGUUGGCAACGGCAUUUAGAGGAGAGGGGAGAGAAGUUUAGCUGGCACAUUGUUGUUAUGCGUGAAAAAAGUGUUAAUGAGUAUUUUGGGAGAGAGAGAGAGAGAGAGAGAGACUUGG